CCUACGGGAGGCAGCAGUAGGGAAUAUUGCACAAUGGGGGAAACCCUGAAGCAGCAACGCCGCGUGGAGGAUGAAGGUUUUCGGAUUGUAAACUCCUUUUGUCAGAGAAGAUAAUGACGGUAUCUAACGAAUAAGCACCGGCUAACUCCGUGCCAGCAGCCGCGGUAAUACGGAGGGUGCAAGCGUUACCCGGAGUCACUGGGCGUAAAGAGCGCGUAGGCGGGAUAGCAAGUCAGAUGUGAAAUCCUAUGGCUUAACCAUGGAACUGCUUUUGAAACUGUUAUGCUAGAGUUUAGGAGAGGUAAGUGGAAUUCUUGGUGUAGGGGUAAAAUCCGUAGAGAUCAAGAGGAAUACUCAUGGCGAAGGCGACCUACUGGAACAUAACUGACGCUGAUGCGCGAAAGCGUGGGGAGCAAACAGGAUUAGAUACCCUUGUAGUC
rnacentral:rRNA from 1 species